rnacentral:rRNA from 1 species
UGUUGGGUUAAGUCCCGCAACGAGCGCAACCCUCGUUCUAUGUUGCCAGCGCGUAAAGGCGGGGACUCAUAGGAGACUGCCGGGGUCAACUCGGAGGAAGGUGGGGACGACGUCAAAUCAUCAUGCCCCUUAUGUCUUGGGCUUCACGCAUGCUACAAUGGCCGGUACAAUGGGUUGCGAUACUGUGCGGUGGAGCUAAUCCCAAAAAGCCGGUCUCAGUUCGGAUUGGGGUCUGCAACUCGACCCCAUGAAGUCGGAGUCGCUAGUAAUCGCAGAUCAGCAACGCUGCGGUGAAUACGUUCCCGGGCCUUGUACACACCGCCCGUCAAGUCACGAAAGUUGGUAACACCCGAAGCCGGUGGCCUAACCCCUUGUGG